rnacentral:rRNA from 1 species
UAGGGAAUCUUCGGCAAUGGGGGGAACCCUGACCGAGCAACGCCGCGUGAGUGAAGAAGGUUUUCGGAUCGUAAAGCUCUGUUGUUAAGGAAGAACGAGUGUGAGAAUGGAAAGUUCAUACUGUGACGGUACUUAACCAGAAAGGGACGGCUAACUACGUGCCAGCAGCCGCGGUAAUACGUAGGGGGCGAGCGUUGUUCGGAAUUAUUGGGCGUAAAGGGUACGUAGGCGGUUUGUUAAGUUUGGCGUUAAAUCACGGGGCUCAACCCCGUUCAGCGUUGAAAACUGGCAAACUUGAGUAGUAGAGGGGACAGUGGAAUUCCUAGUGUAGCGGUGAAAUGCGUAGAGAUUAGGAAGAAUACCGGUGGCGAAGGCGACCGUCUGGAUACAUACUGACGCUCAGGUACGAAAGCGUGGGGAGCAAACAGG